rnacentral:rRNA from 1 species
UACGGAGGUGGCAAGCGUUACUCGGAAUUAUUGGGUGUAAAGGGCAAGUAGGUGGCUUGGUAAGUGAGAGGUGAAAUACUCCGGCUCAAUCGGAGAACUGCCUUUCAUACUGCCUUGCUUGAGUAUGACAGGGGGAAGUGGAAUUCCAGGUGUAAGGGUGAAAUCUGUAGAUAUCUGGAAGAACACCAGCGGCGAAGGCGACUUCCUGGGUCAUUACUGACACUGAAUUGCGAAAGCUAGGGGAGCAAAC